rnacentral:tRNA from 1 species
GCCGAGAUGGUGGAAUUGGUAGACACGCGAGCUUCAGGUGCUCGUGGGGGCAACUCCGUGGAGGUUCGAGUCCUCUUCUCGGCA